ensembl:lncRNA
CAGGAUGGUAAUGACCAGUAGUAGAAGUAAUAUUCAGGAUGGUAAUGACCAGUAGUAGAAGUAAUAUCCAGCAUGGUAAUGACCAGUAGUAGAAGUAAUAUCCAGGAUGGUAAUGACCAGUAGUAGAAGUAAUAUUCAGGAUGGUAAUGACCAGUAAUAGAAGUAAUAUUCAGGAUGUUCAUUACCAUCCUGGAUAUCACUUCUACUUCUGGUCAUUUUAAAAUACAGAUGAUAAUCUGUCUGUUCCCUGUAUUCCAGUAGAAGUAAUAUCCAGGGUGAAUAGAACAUAAUUUUUUUUUUUACAUGGUCGGACAUCUCUCCAGAUUUAGCGACCAAUAGUUUUUACAACAACGUUGGAUGUUUCUAUUCUGCAUAAUUCGAGGGAGAGAGGGAAGACGACACGCUGUUGAAGGGAGAGGAGGGAAGAGAUGCUGUUGAUUUGAACCUGCGCCGCCAGAACACGGGAUAAUAUAUCUAGCUGAGGAUCUACCUACCUGAACAAGGUGCUCCGUAUUGAACAGGCACCUGCCGUUCUUUGACCACCCAUCACCACCAUGUCAAAGGACCAGUGUGACUCCGUAGCAGUGAGCGUCGAGUCCCUCUUAACCGACGCAGUUAAGAUGCAGUCCCAGUGUCGGGAGCGUAGUGAGCAGCUAGCUGUGGCCGCCGCCGCACUGCGGGAGGAGUCGGCGUGCUUGAGAGAACAGUGUCAAGCCACCCAGCUGGACAUGGCUCAGAUGAGAAGACAGCUAGAACAACUGCUGGACAGCAAGGCUCAGAUGGAGGCCAGUGAUCGAAUGCACCGCAAACUCAGCAAGACACUCUAAAGGGAAAGGAGGGGAAGGAGAGUGAGAAAAUAAGAACGGCUGGAUAACAAAGCUCCGACAGACCCGGGAAAACUUAGCAGUUAAAAUGUCUCCUGUUCUCUAACGCUAUCUAUCUUCCGUCUCUAAACAAUAGACUUUAUUCUUCAUAAGCAGUUAUUAUGCUAGCUAUAUAGGCCCUCAAGUCUCUUCACGGAGAUUGAAUGUUUAUGGGUCUGAAUAAAUAACUGCUAUAGUCUACCGUCAUUGGUCAUUCGCGCUUCUUUCAAACCCGCAAGUGCUAUUGGCUGCUGUAUGUAACAUUCGGCAGAAAAGAAGGAUCCUUCUAUUGGUAUAAGAAAUGCUAAAAAAAUAAUACCCCAAAAACAUAUUCUAGUUUUUCCUGCAUGGGACCAAGAGCUAAGGAGCGUUUUUUAAAGGGGAGGCGAGCGGAGCUCAGGCGCUUGGGUAUUACGCAAGAGACAGAAGCUAUAAAUUUGAAGCUUAUUAGACAUAAUCCAUAAUUAAUUAACAUAUAUAUAUAUAUAUAUAAGGCUAUAAUAUAAGGCUAAUACUGAAUUGAAUGUAUUACCUGAAAGAGGUAGGCUAGGACAUUAUAUAUAAAUAUAUAUAUUUAGGGCUAGGACAUCUAUAAUUAAUGUAUAUAGGGCUAGGACAUCAAUAUAUAGGAGAUAUAUAUAUAUAUAUAUAUAUAUAUAUAUAUAUAGGACACAGUUGAAGUCGGAAGUUUACAUACACUUAGGUUGGAGUCAUUAAAACUCGUUUUUCAACCACUCUACAAAUUUCUUAAAGUAAUUUUUCCAACAAUUGUUUACAGACAGAUUAUUUCACUUAUAAUUCACUGUAUCACAAUUCCAGUGGGUCAGAAGUUUACAUACACUAAGUUGAAUGUGUCUUUAAACAGCUUGGAAAAUUCCAGAAAAUGAUGCCAUGGCUUUAGAAGCUUCUGAUGUUAGGCUAAUUGACGUAAUUUGAGUCAAUUGGAGGUGUACCUGUGGAUGUAUUUCAAGGCCUACCUUUAAACUCAGAACCUCUUUGCUUGACUUAAUGGGAAAAUCUAAAGAAAUCAGCCAAGACCUAAAAAAAAAAAAAUUGUAGACCUCCACAAGUCUUGUUCAUCCUUGGGAGCAAUUUCCAAACGCCUGAAGGUACCUCGUUCAUCUGUACAAACAAUAGUAUGCAAGUGUGAACACCAUGGAACCACGCAGCCGUCAUACCGCUCAGGAAGGAGACGCAUUCUGUCUCCUAGAGAUGAUCGUCCUUUGGUACGAAAAGUGAAAAUCAAUCCCAGAACAACAGAAAAUGACUUUGUGAAGAAGCUUGUGGAAGACUACCCAAAAUGUUUGACCUAAGUUAAACAAUUUAAAGGCAAUGCUACCAAAUACUAAUUGAGUGUAUGUAAACUUCUUACCCACUGGGAAUGUGAUGAAAGAAAUAAAAGCUGAAAUAAAUCAUUCUCUCUACUAUUAUUCUGACAUUUCACAUUCUUAAAAUAAAGUGGUGAUCCUAACUGACCUAAGACAGGGAAUUUUUACUAGGACUAAAUGUCAGGAAUUGUGAAAAACUGAGUUUAAAUGUAUUUGGCUAAGGUUUAUGUAAACUUCCAACUUCAACUGGAUAUAUAUAUAUACUGUAUAAAAAGUCGGAAGUUAACAUACACUUAGGUUGAAGUCUUUAAAACUCGUAUUUCAACCACUCCACAAAUGUAUUGUUAACAAACUAUAGUUUUGGCAAGUCGGUUAGGACAUCUACUUAUUGUUUACAUAUGGCUCAGACAUCUAUAUAGGGCCAGUGGCGACCUGUCAAUCAGGGCAGAGCCCCACCUGUUUUGAGCCCACCCUGUUUAGUUAUUUUGGCAUUAAUACGUGUCACAUAUCAGUUUGCAAACAAUCUAAAAAAUAAUAAUUAAUAAAGCCGCAUACAAACAUGGUCUCUACUUUUCUUUCUUGA